rnacentral:snRNA from 1 species
AUUGCUUCUUGGCUUUUUGGCUAAGAUCAAGUGUAGUAUCUGUUCUUAUCAGUUUAAACAACAGAAAUUUAUUUUCUCACAGCUCUGGAGAAUAGAAGUCCAA